AAUGCAAUAUGUUUGAAAUUGAAACGCUGUAUCUUUAAUUUGCGGCUCUCUCGUCACGUCAAAAAUCCUCAUUUAUUUCUAAACACUGGAGUAAUCAGGAUUUUCAUUGGUACCACUGUUCACACAAGUAGUAUCUGCAAAAAUUAGGCUACUCAGGAUUUAUCUGACUGCACCACAGUUUAUCAGUACCUGUACCUUCUGAAAUUCCUCUGUAGCAGAUGAAUUUGUACUGGAGCUUAUGACAAUGGCAUCUUCAAAGGACAAAAUCACCAGGAAUACCAAAGUCAUGAGGAGCUUCCGACUACAUCGAAUUGCUGCAAUUUGCAUUAUAGUGACUUUGCUGUUAGUGGAUCAUAUUAGCUUGGCAAGAGAGACAGUUAUUGUUCGGGAAAGGAGUUUGAGUGUUGCAGAUGUGCCAAAUAGUAAAUUCUAUCCUGGUUCGGGGGCAGCAGUCACACCGUCCUUCUAUAGAUUACUAGAGUUUCAUGAUAAUCGAGGAAACGGGAGUCACAUGUUUGUUGGGGGUAAAAAUGUUCUUUUGGAACUCCGCCUAGACUCUCUUUCACUGAUCAGAGAAAUUGUGGUUCCAAAGUAUGCUGUGGGUUUCUCAUGUGAUGACUUACAGGAUAGCGAGGUAAGAUGUUUUGCGCUUUGUUGACAUUUGAUGUUUACAGAACCAAUGAUUCCAUUUUAAAAGUAUUAAUUAAGAUCAUAUUUUAUUCAUUCUAUAGGCCUAGUGGUUUGUAAAUCAUCUUUUUAAUGGCAUCCCUGCUUGCCAAAUCAGGAAAAUAUUACGAUUGUUGCUUUUUGAAAGUGGGCUAUACAUGUACUCUACCUUUUCCAUUUAUUGACAUUCAGGUACUGUAUGUUGUGUGUGCAUGUGUUUCCUUUCACUUUCCUACAUUACAUAAACUAUUAAAGGGAAAUAAACAAGUGCUUGAUUUUAUCUUUGUAAAACAAUAUGCUUUAAAAUAAACAUGCAGGUAGAGACAUGGUACUGCUGUCAUGUACAUGUACCAAACAAUGUUUCAUUAAAAAUUGAUUAUCAAUGUGGAUGAGAAAGAGAGAGAGAGGGAGAAAGAGAAAGAGAGAGAGAGAGAGAGGGGGGGGGGUAAAAAAGGCUCUUAAAGGAGAAUGAAACUCUUGGAGCAAGUUAGCUUUUGUGAAAGCAGCAAAAUCAAAGAAUAAGAUCUACAAAACUUUGAGUAAAAUACGACUAGCAAUAAAAGAGUUAUGAGCAUUUGAAUGUCGAGAUCACUAAUGCUAUGGAGAUCCUCCCAUUGGCAAUGCGACCAAGAUCUGUGAUGUCACACACGUACAACUCUCCCAUUUGGACACUGAAAAUAUACCCCAAAACAUCUCUUUUUGCUCAUUCUAAUCAUAUGACAAACGAUUCAUCAAUGAUAUAAUGUUGUGAAACCUCUGUACUUGUCAUCUCAUAAAGAAAACACCUCACCUUGUGAUAGACUCUAUAAAAGUGAGAAUAUAAGUGAAAUAAGUACUAAAGUAAUGAGGGAGUUGUACGUGUGUGAUAUCACAGAUCUUGGUCGCAUUGCCGUUGGGAGGAUCUACAUGGCACUAGUGAUCUCAAUAUUCGAAUGCUCAUAACUUUCUUAUUAUUCAUUCAAUCUUCCUCAAACUUUCAACAAUAUGUUUCUUUGAUUUUUCUCUUUGAUAUGGAUUCAGCUGGUUUCAAGGGUUUCAUUCUCCUUUAAGUAAAUUGUUAUCAUGUUAACCUUCAAUCCAAUAACUUAUUAUUUUGAUCUAGAAACAUUAAGUUUUAUGUGAGGUCUGUUGUUGUGAUAGUUACAAGGAGAAAAAUGGAUCCGGUUUCAUUUCCAAUACUGAAUUGACGUAUGUACAGUACAACACUGAAAAUAUAUUUGAUGCCAUAUUCAUGACAUGACAUUCCACAAGACUUUCAUUACAUCGCAUGAUUUUUGAACACUUAGAUUAACAUUUAAAUAAUAGGAAAAAAAACAGUAAGUGCCUCUGUCACUUUGAGUCUUACAACUUUAUUCUCAAUAUAAACACAUCAAAGAGUUUUUGUUGACGAUCUACAUUUACAUUUAUGGAUACAGAUAUACAUGUAUAUAUCAACCAAAAAAUUACACGGGGGCGGCGGGCGAAUUCGCCCCGGAAAGUCCAAAAAGAGCCCCGGAAAAGGGCUAAAAACAUUCACACGAGGGCGACUGCAAAACUCAUAAUCGCCCCCGUCAACACUGUAUAUUUAUGUAGCAUUUCAUGCAUACGUACGUGAUUGCAUUUAAAUUAUACAUUAUACAUUAUAUUGCAUUUAAAUGUGUACUUGUUUGCAUUUGCGUGUGACCGCUUAUAUUACAAUCUUGAGCUGUUUCCUACGCGCACACCAAUUGUGCUACAAAAUCCCAAACUCAUUGCCCGACUGCAGUUGCGAACAUCACGUAUAUAUGUACGUAAAUCACCGCGGAGCUGCCCGCAGAGUCACACAAGCAAAUACAAGAUACAGUGGCACAAUAACAUUGCUCAUUUCAGCGCACGCGAGUCCAUCAUAGGAUCGUGUCAGCUAAGAGAACUUACCUGUGAAUCUCUGUUUACGGGCGUGAAUAGUGCAUGUGGUACAUGUGCCUAUGAAUUCGAGAUGGUACCGUUACGCACUUCUCGCUAGCUCGCGCCGCGCUGCUUCGAAGCUUCGUCGCGAUCGCAUGUACAGUACACGCGUAUGAUUACACCGUAUAUGCCAACUACCGUGUAUAUAUAUACACACACACCCAUACACACACACAAACGCAAAAAAGCCGCGAAAUAGCUCCAGAAAUUGUAGCCCUGGAAAGUGG